GCCUGGCUCGCCCGAGGGCGGGCGGCUACGGGCCCCUGCUGCCGAACGGAGGCCGUCCGCUUCCCCCGGCCUCUCUCCGCGGGCCCUACCGCGCCGCCCGCUCCUCUCCCGGGGGUUUCAGUUGCCAGUGCCAAAAGGCAGUCAGGAAGCAGAUCGUCCUGAUUUAUGGCCAGAAGGUCAAUAGCCUAAGGCUAUCUCACAAUGCCUCUGUCAGUCACUUCUCUUCAUCUCAUCGUGUAGGCAGUAUCUCAUCUCACAUCAUCGCAGGAAGGGUGUGAGUUUGUAAGCCCCAUCCAAUCCAUGUUUCAUCGUAUGGACAAGAAAGCUGAUGAGGUAAUUUACUUACCUAGGACUGGAAGAUAAAUCUCCUGGUUGCCUCCCACGAGGGCAGAAGUAGCUGGAGUCAGCCUUCCCUCUAAUUUGAGUUGAGUCAGACACCUUGGAAUAUCUCAACAUAAUCUUCCUCUCAAUUCCCACAACCACCCUUUACAGAGGAAACUUGGGAAUAUUUGAAACUCCCCUCUUCUUUCUCCUCCCACACCACGUCAGUCACCUAACUUGUUAAUUGGCCUCCCUGCCUCCAUUCCUGUCCUCCUCCAAAUCCUCUUCCUCGCUGGAAAAGAGGUUUUUCGAGAACAUUAGUCUAAUCAUGUCACUGUCUGGCUUUAAAAUCCGUCUGUAACUCCUCCGUUGCCUUUAGGUUAGAUCUAAGUCAACUUCCUUUGCAUAGCACACAAAGCCCCUCAUCACCUGGGUGCUGUCCCCUGGUCAGGACCCUGUGCUCCAACCAGAUCAAAUUACCCACAGGGCUUUGCACACACAGUGCUGCCUGUAUUUUGUCCUCUGUAUUUGCUAUUUGCACUACUCCAGCACCAGCUAACUCCCACUUAGACUUUUCGUCCCACUUCCAGCUGUGAUCCUCUCAGGAAAACCUUUUUUUUUUUUUUUUUUUUUUUUUUUUUUUUUUUUUUUUUUUUGGCGUGCCCUGGCUGCAUUCCAGGUCCUGCUCUGCACUUCUGUAGCAUCCUGUGCUUUCUUUUAAGAACAUCACCUUGCCAUGGUGGGUUUUUGUUUUUUGUUGCUGCGUUUUCAAGUUGUGUUGGAUUUUUUUCCAUUUGUCUCCCUCCUGGAUGGUGUGGGAACUCCCUGAAGCCUAACCAGCCACUGUGUCUGUGUCUCCAGCACCUGAAACCACAGCACACAGGAGGCGGGGCAGCGAGGGUUUGAUGAGUAAAUGAAAUUAGACUAAAGAGUUGAAGGUUUGAGGACUUUUUUGGACAGAAGUUCUCCCUUCCCUUGUAGGAAGGGGACUUGAUGUAAAUGACAACUCUAUAGUACUCCUUCGACAGAUGCCCAGUAGAAGCUAGCGCUGCCUGGGGCUGAUGGAGCUUCCCGGGAACCGAGCCCGGUGUCUGCUGCCCUGGCUGGGUCACGACACAGGACCUGCUUGGGCUUGGCCAUCCGCGGGCUGGUGUGUGCACGCGAACGUGGGGGCGGAUCGGUGUGUGUGCACGCGCCCCGACCGAGGUGUGUGUGUGUGUGUGUGUGUGUGUGUGUGUGUGCGCGAGAGAGAGAAAGCGCGCGUCCGUCUGUCCGCGCGAGCACCUCGCCCACCCCGCCUGCUCCCGCUGGGAGGAUAAUUAAAGCGCCAAACGGCGGAGCUGGCCGGCAGUGUUCCCGGGGGCGCAUUUCAUCGGGGCUGAUUAAUGAGGCCGGGGAGUUAAUGAGGAGAAAGCUAAACGGAGGGAGCUGAGCAGCGGAAGCCAUCUCCGAGGCCCCGGAGGGGGCCCUCCGAAGGCAUCUCCCGCCCUCUCUUUUCAGGAGAGGCUUAGCGCAAGCCACAUGGUGCCCCUGGCUCCAUUCACCGCCUCCGGCCGGGGAGAGGAGGGGUCGCUGCCGGCGCACGCUGGCCACAGUGGGGGACUCGCUUCUCCUUCCUCCGCGUGUGCCUAACCUGGCUAAACAGAAAAAGAACCUGCCCUUGCCAACCACAACACAACAAAGGACCCCAGAAGAUCGACCGCCCCUUUCUUUUCACCUUGAGGAACGUUUGGUUUUGAACCUGGGGUAGAGAGGCGCAAUGAGGGAUGGAGAUCCUGAACAGAGAGGACAGGCAGUGUGAUGGCCUCUCCAUCGAUCUGUGGCCUUGUGUCCUAACCAUGCUGAUAGAGAAGAACAGAAAAUGGCCUCUUCAUGAGCCCCCUGUACCUACCCCUCCGGGCACAUACUUCUAUGGUCAGACUACAGACACCCCAAGUGUCCUCUGUGCCCCCACAAGUGGCAUACGAGCAGUAGCCAGUAGCCUCAGUUUUAAAGGCUGGAGCGUGGCACAAUGAGGCUGGACUCAGAAGAACCAUGUUACAGUAUGACUUUGCCAUGGACCAUCCGUGUGAACCUGAGUGAGUUGCUUGAGGACGCCGAGCCUGCCAGUUGGGAAUGAUAACGGCCAUAUACCUAUUUCAUGGGACUGAUGUAAAAGGACAGGCGCGAAGCUUUCCAUUUAAAAGCCUUUGUAACUUGAUGUGCUCUGUAUCUGGAAAUGGCUGGAAGGAGAGUCCAGGUCACUUCCCCCUGGGGUGUGCCAGGCGGGUCUAACAAUGGGCAACAGCGCCUGAGCUCCCUGAUGAACACACCUCCCUUACCCCAGUAAUCUGACUUUGGGAUCUGCAACUCCAUAUUGAUUUCUUCCAGUCAAGAGUGAUGUGAGACCAGAAGCCAACCAGCUCCGACAAAGUCUUGGUGAGCUUGAAAUGAGCCAGUUUCCUCUGGAUGAGUUUCUUCUGCUGAAUCACGGAAAUGGAGGCUGCCCAGGCCAACGAAAACCAAAUCUGUCUGCCCUGUCUUGUCAGACACCUCCACCUUCCCCACCAACUGGAUGCUGAAGCCCCCAGCCCUCGCUAAUGUUCCACACCACCCCCCUCACUGUGGGAGCUGGCCAGCACUGGCAAAAGGGGAGCAUCAGUAAUUUUCUCCAAAGGAGCUUGUGCCUAGAGAAACCAAUAUUUAACAUCCCCAUUUACAUUGAAAGCGUGAUUCUGAUUAUGAGAUGGUAAUGAGGGGAUUAGCCAGAGAGAGCCCCCCUGCCUGCCGCCCCCUCCCAUUCUUCUCUCCUUCACCCUGCUCCGUGGGCUUACUCCUGGAGGAGGACGUGUGGGGGGAGGGUGCGGGCACUCCCACUGGGAGAGCAUCAGAGAUGCCAGAGCAGGGCAGGGGUCCUCCAAGACCCCUUCUGAGGACCCCUUAUUCAUGUCUGGAAUCAAUUAGCCUUAGAAGAGGUGAUGGGUGAGAUGUGAGACACCUCACUCUGAGGGCCCUUCCUUUCAUUCUUUACCCUAGACUCUGCUGAGACCCUCUACUCUCUGGUUCUGUUCCAUAUUUCAGAUGGGGGAACUUCUUAGGUCACGCUUUCCCUCUGAGGUAGAGGAGUGAAGUACAAAAGUCUGUUGGGAGAACUUUUGCUUGGCUCCUGGCUUCUCUGACUUCAUCCCAAACCCAGCCUCCUCCCCUAAAUCGCCUGCCUCUCUGGACCGGCAUCCUUGUUGUCCUUGUCCCAGACCCUGCCUUUUAACCAGGCAGCAGUUUAUCUCUGGCUGUUCUUGUGGGGUGAGGGGUGGGGGAAGGAGAGAACCCAAGGGGGUCACCCAUCCUGAGGCCCCGUUUGUUGGUGGACAAUUGCGCUCAGACAGGAUAAUUCAGUGUGUGAUUGUGGUCACGCCCCCCCUUUUGUGCCCCUUUCAGAGCCAAUCUCCCAGGCCCAGAUGGGUUAAUCCAUAAUGCAGACGAGCAAGUAAUUGGCUGUCAGCCCAGCCCCCUGCACCCCCUCCCCUAUUAGUGCCACUGCCCUAAUGAAGCCCAGCUUGGAGAGCCCCCUUCUCAAUGAGGCGCCAGCCCCAACCCAGCCAGGCACACAUGUGUCUCCGCUCCUCUGCCUGAAGCCUGGCUCCCUUUAGGGACCCCCAGCCCAGCCUCCCCGGGGUGACCCAGCUGCCAGGGCUGCAGCGGCCCCGGGGGGAGGCUGUGAUGGAUGGGAGGGAGUUAGUUAAUAGAGCCCAAAACACAUGGGCCCUGUCCCCACACCGACCCUCCCCCCUCACACACACACUUUUACAGCUUCCUCUGACAGCAGCCCUAGCCUUUUGAAAUAGUCCCAUAGAAUAUUUCCUCACUCCCCUCUCCAACCUAAGCUGUGCCAAAACAGGGCCCAAAAGGGGGCCAUGAAGCUGCUUCUUUGGACACUGGCCCAAGUCAUUGCUGUUCACACUAUCCCCAACCUCUGCCAAUCUAGGUCUUCUUGUGGGUUUUGGGCAGAGAUGGCUCAUGGCAAUGUUAAAAAGGGGAACUUGGCCCUCAGUCUCCAGUGUCUCCACUGUUAUUAAAAUCAUAACGAGAGAUUUCUUUUCCUUUGAUUCUUGGAUUCCAUCUCUGUUCCUUGAUCCCAUUUCUCUUCCGAACCACUUCCUGACCAAUACUUCAGCUAGAGACAAAGCUAGGUCUGUAGCAGAUAUCCACAGACAAGAGCUGUUCUCUUUGUUGGAGCUGCCUCAUCAUGGACUAGGCUUCCCUGCCAGCCUUUAAGCUCCCUGUCUCUGGAAGGAUUCAAGCCAAGGCUGGAUAAAGUCUGUUUGAAAUGUCAUAGAGGGAGGUUUGGGGAGGAUAUUUGCAAAGGGACCUACCACUCUUGGAUUCCUUGCAUUUAUGUCCUAUUCCCUCAUCUCUGUUCGCUCCUUUCCCCCAUGAAGAGAGUGGUGGCUUUGCUGGGCCUUUUUCCAAACCAGUGGAGGAAAGUUGAGAUUGGCUGCUGCCUGGGUUGGGCUGCUCCUACAUUCAUGCCCACUGAAGCAGGGGCUUUAUGUCCUGAGGAGAGUCCUGGACCCAUAACCUCCCUGUCUUCCUUCCUCUACUUAACACUUU